UACGGAGGGUGCAAGCGUUGUCCGGAAUCACUGGGCGUAAAGGGCGCGUAGGCGGCUAUGUAAGUCACUUGUGAAAUCCCCGGGCUCAACCUGGGAAUUGCGUUGGAGACUGCAAGGCUAGAAUCUGGCAGAGGGGGGUAGAAUUCCACGUGUAGCAGUGAAAUGCGUAGAGAUGUGGAGGAACACCGAUGGCGAAGGCAGCCCCCCUGGGUCAAGAUUGACGCUCAUGCACGAAAGCGUGGGGAGCAAACAGG
rnacentral:rRNA from 1 species